GUCUUCUGAACUUCAAUUUUAAGAAAUAUUGGAAAAUAAAGAGAUGGAUGAAAUUCAUUUGCAAAUUAGUAUGCAACUGUUAUGUUACAAACAUUUCAGUAAAAUCUGUAAAUUUUAAAGCAAUGGAAAUACAUGUACUUCUUUUGAGUUUUUUAUGAUUUUCUAUAUAAAGCACUUCAUGCAUUCUGGUAUACACAUAUUACUGUGCUACAAUUACAAACAUUAUGAAUAUGAUAUGUAUUUGAAAAUAUAUAUACUGAGCAUACAACUAGUCAACAACAGUAAUGAAAAACAAGAUGGAACUAGAAUUCAUCAUACAUUAUGAGAACUAUAAAACUAUGAAAUUAUCAGAUGAAAACAUUUACAAUUCCAGAGCAAGUGCAUAUGAUUCUGAGAAUAGUCUUAAAAAAUAAAACUGUUAUUUAACAAAAGGGUUCAAUUCAUUUUGUUGAAAUUCAUGACAACUAUAGACAUCCAUUUUUGCAGGUGAGAAAUUAGUAUUCAAAUAUCUGGGAAUCUAUUUCAAAAGUUUUAUCAGGCAGACGUUUGUUAUUAAAUUGUGAUAUGAUUUUUUAAAACACUUUAUUUACAAAUGAAUCAUUUCGGAUUUUUUGCCUAUAAUCAGUGGUUUGAAGUAAAACCAUCACUUUGUAAACUCAAUUAAUUGUACAAUUGUUUAGCUUGUUACUGAUUUCAUUAUACAUGUAUAUACAUGUACAUAACAUGUAUUAUCGUAGUAGUUAUUAGUUUUUUAAUUGACUGGUAUAUGCAAUCAAUUUGAAUUUUUUCCAUGUUUUCUUAAGCUCUUAUGCAUGAGAAUGCAUAAAAGUUUUGAAUUUGUAAAUCCAUUGUAAAACUGGCCAUUCAAUAGUAGUGUAGAUACAAGAUUAAAGCAUAUUUUAUGGGAAAUAUAUUGACAUUUUAGUUAAACAGUAUACCUUUUAAAAAUCUUUUUUAAAAAAAAACAUUGCUUGCUUUAUGUGGCAAUACACAUAAUUAUCUUUUUGUCCCUUCAUUAUAGCUUCAGAUCAAAUAGUUAGCCAUCUGUCUAUUCCCCUGUUCUUCAGAUGACCGUUUUAUUAUCCUGCCUUUUGAGGUGAACUUAGCUAUGUAGUUUUAUUACAAUGAGUAGUUGAUGAAGUUGUGAUUUGAAAGGAAUUAUUUAUAACAGCUUUAAGAUUUUUUUAUGAGAAAAAAAUACUGAACCCAAAAGGCUCUUGGUAAAUUAUAGUUACAUCAUUUGUGUCAUUCAUAUCAUCAUUUUGAAUGUUAAUAAACUUUUUUAAAGUU
rnacentral:lncRNA from 1 species